rnacentral:rRNA from 1 species
CGCAUCUGUGCAUGCAGCAUAUCAAUAAGCGGAGGAAAAGAAACUAACAAGGAUUCCCCUAGUAACGGCGAGUGAAGCGGGAAGAGCUCAAAUUUGAAAUCUUAAAGGGUUUCCCUUUACGAAUUGUAGUUUAAAGAAGUGUUUUCUGUUGAGGUUUUGGUAAAAGUUCUUUGGAAUAGGACAUCAUAGAGGGUGAGAAUCCCGUAUUUGACCUUUACUUUCAACUUUGUGAUACACUUUCAAAGAGUCGGAUUGUUUGGGAAUGCAGUCCAAAAUGGGUGGUAAAUUUCAUCUAAAGCUAAAUAUUGGCGAGAGACCGAUAGCGAACAAGUACCGUGAGGGAAAGAUGAAAAGAACUUUGAAAAGAGAGUUAAACAGUACGUGAAAUUGUCAAAAGGGAAGCGUUUGACACCAGUGUUGUUUUUCUGAAAAUCAAUUAAAGAACUGUUUAUGCUAAGUUGUUUAGACUUAUCAGCUAUCUGCUUAGUUUUGAGCUUUUCUUUAAUGCACUUGUCAGUUAACAAGUCAACAUCAAUUUCUUUUGCUGUAAAAAAGCUUGAGGAAGGUGGCUUGAGAUUCGUCUUAAGUGUUUAUAGCCUCUUGCCUAUGCAGUCGGAGAGAUUGAGGUCUGCAGCGUAGAUCCUUCGGGGCUAAAUGCAUUUGUGCUAAGUUAUAGCAUUUUAUAGACAACUUGUUGACUAUGAUUUGUCUUGUAGCUUACUCGCUUAUGUUAUUUUACCUACGCUUAGGAUGUUGAGCGCAUGUCUCUCUCU